UACGGGGGGGGCAAGCGUUGUUCGGAAUUACUGGGCGUAAAGGGCUCGUAGGCGGCCAACUAAGUCAGACGUGAAAAUCCCCAGGCUCAACCUGGGAACUGCGUCUGAUACUGGAUGGCUUGAAUCCGGGGAGAGGGAUGCAGAAUUCCAGGUGUAGCGGUGAAAUGCGUAGAUAUCUGGAGGAACACCGGUGGCGAAGGCGGCAUCCUGGACCGACACUGACGCUGAGGAGCGAAAGCCAGGGGAGCAAACGGG
rnacentral:rRNA from 1 species